rnacentral:rRNA from 1 species
AUUGAACGCUGGCGGCAGGCCUAACACAUGCAAGUCGAACGGUAGCACAGAGAGCUUGCUCUCGGGUGACGAGUGGCGGACGGGUGAGUAACGUCUGGGAAACUGCCCGAUGGAGGGGGAUAACUACUGGAAACGGUAGCUAAUACCGCAUAACGUCGCAAGACCAAAGUGGGGGACCUUCGGGCCUCACACCAUCGGAUGUGCCCAGAUGGGAUUAGCUAGUAGGUGGGGUAAUGGCUCACCUAGGCGCCGAUCCCUAGCUGGUCUGAGAGGAUGACCGGCCAGACUGGAACUGAGACACGGUCCAGACUCCUACGGGAGGCAGCAGUGGGGAAUAUUGCACAAUGGGCGCAAGCCUGAUGCAGCCAUGCCGCGUGUAUGAAGAAGGCCUUCGGGUUGUAAAGUACUUUCAGCGGGGAGGAAGGCGGUGAAGUUAAUAACUUCACCGAUUGACGUUACCCGCAGAAGAAGCACCGGCUAACUCCGUGCCAGCAGCCGCCGCAG